GAUAGGAGACUUUCAGAGAUGGAUUGGUGCCUUCGGGAACUCUGAGACAGGUGCUGCAUGGCUGUCGUCAGCUCGUGUUGUGAAAUGUUGGGUUAAGUCCCGCAACGAGCGCAACCCUUAUCCUUUGUUGCCAGCGGUUCGGCCGGGAACUCAAAGGAGACUGCCAGUGAUAAACUGGAGGAAGGUGGGGAUGACGUCAAGUCAUCAUGGCCCUUACGAGUAGGGCUACACACGUGCUACAAUGGCGCAUACAAAGAGAAGCGACCUCGCGAGAGCAAGCGGACCUCAUAAAGUGCGUCGUAGUCCGGAUUGGAGUCUGCAACUCGACUCCAUGAAGUCGGAAUCGCUAGUAAUCGUAGAUCAGAAUGCUACGGUGAAUACGUUCCCGGGUCUUGUACACACCGAA
rnacentral:rRNA from 1 species